UUUUUUUUUGACAUGAAGAAGCUACUCUAUAUAUAACGUGGCAAUGGAAUUAAACACAAAAAAUUGCACAAUACCUGUCAUCAAAGAUAGGAUUAAAAAUUAUUUUAAAAUUAAAUAAAAAAAAAAUUUAUGUGCUGUUUAAUGCAAGUACUCUGUUGCAAUGGGCACAUAUUAUGAUUUGAGAUAUAAAGGAAUCUAUUAACUAAAUUCCAUUUUCUAAUGAAAUAAGUAAAAGCAUGUGGUUUAAGGUCCAAUAUUUUUAUGCCAUCCCAAAACCACACCAUCAUGUUUUUUCCUUCUAAUUUGGUUUACUUAGCAAUAGCUUAUAUAUUCUCACACAAUCUGAAAUAAGUAAACUACAGAGUGGGGAACAUACAUACUCCAAGAGCCUGGCUUUUGCUUUGACAGAAGCAAAAAGCAUAUCUCCAGCUGCUUCCACCUAUUGAUCCAGUCCCACUGUGCUGAAAUACUACUUGAAGUCGAUGUAGCUGUAGAUUAAAUAAAAUGAUACAACCUCUUCGGAAAUCACUAUCAAGGUCCUUGAAGAAGAGGUGGAAUCAGCACUUUAAAACUUUUUUGCUUUUUAUUUGGGUCAUGCAUUCCUGACUAACCCCUGAACUGCUGUUCACAGGCAAGAAGUUGGCAGCGAUGGGAAAGAUCUUUAAAGGUGAGUGGAAUCAACCACUGAAAAUUUUACUACGGGUGUUUUACAGACUCUCCAUCACUGACUAAUUCAAAGUCAGGAUGAGAUGGUUUUUCAUGUGUUGCAAAAAGAGCAACAGGGGAAAAAAACCCCAACAAAACACACACGCAAAAAAAUAUAUAUGAAAAAACCACUGCCAUCAAACCUACCAAAGAGAUGAUCCCAGUACGGUUACUGAUGUCCAACCAGUCCUGUCAGUCCUUUUCUGUUAUGAUAGAGGCUGUACCUCACAAACUAACAGAACAGUUUUAUCUUGUGUCUAAGACUGCUACCUCAACUAAACAAGUAAAGUGAGAUUAUGGGUUCUAUUUUACAGGUAUAAAUUAAAAUGAAUUUUAUUGAUGUCAAAGAUGGCAAAGUUUUAAGGAGACGUAGUGACUGACACAACUAAGAAAAGCAAUAUUUUUUGAGUGUACAGGUCUCUUUUUUUUCCUAUUAUGAGUUGAUCUAAUAAAGAUAUUAUGUCUCUGUCCAGAUCAUGUCCUGUCAUCAUGACUACAAGCACUUUUAUUAUUCUAUUUUUGAGAAAAAGCCGAUGAUAGAGUGUCUCUAAACACACCAUUGAGUAUUGUAACUGGGAUCUGAAUCUUCGCUUUUGGCACAGGAUUAGGAAACAGUGAUUUCUUUCUCCACAGUUUCUGAGAUACAAGCAGCAGGGGAAAAAAAAAAAGGAAAAAAGAUGCUUUUCCCUGGAAUUUCUCCCAGUAUACUGAUCUGAUUCUCUUUCCUACUAGUGAUAGCCUCUUUCUAUUACAAAGACCUAUCUUCCUGUGAUUACAUACAGUGUAUUUCACAUCUGCUACUGCCAGAAUAGCUUAAAAUGACAUAUGACAAAGUGCAGGACGAGAAAUCUGACAGAA
rnacentral:lncRNA from 1 species